GUCAUAUGCUUGUCUCAAAGAUUAAGCCAUGCAUGUCUCAGUACAAGCCAAAUUAAGGUGAAACCGCGAAAGGCUCAUUAAAUCAGUUAUGGUUCCUUAGAUCGUACCCACAAUUACUUGGAUAACUGUGGUAAUUCUAGAGCUAAUACAUGCAAACAGAGCUCCGACCGGAGACGGAAGGAGCGCUUUUAUUAGAUCAAAACCAAUCGGUGGCGGGUUCGCUCGUCAUCGUACAACUUGGUGACUCUGAAUAACUUUACGCUGAUCGCACGGUCAUCGCACCGGCGACGCAUCUUUCAAAUGUCUGCCUUAUCAACUGUCGAUGGUAGGUUCUGCGCCUACCAUGGUUGUAACGGGUAACGGGGAAUCAGGGUUCGAUUCCGGAGAGGGAGCCUGAGAAACGGCUACCACAUCCAAGGAAGGCAGCAGGCGCGCAAAUUACCCACUCCCGGCACGGGGAGGUAGUGACGAAAAAUAACGAUACGGGACUCAUCCGAGGCCCCGUAAUCGGAAUGAGUACACUCUAAACCCUUUAACGAGGAUCAAUUGGAGGGCAAGUCUGGUGCCAGCAGCCGCGG
rnacentral:rRNA from 1 species